CAAGGAUCAGCGCGCCUGAGUCCACGUGACGGGGCGGCACGCCAAAGAGCUCGAAGGGCUCGGGCUGCACGAGGCUGCUGGAGCAGCGUGACUGUAACGUGGUGAACACGAGCUCUCACACGCCCAAGCCUCGCGACAAUUUCCAGACCUGGGACGUGCCGUUGAGCUCGCGUCUGCGCACAACGUGUCUCGCGCCUUCCCGCGUUUUUCUGGAUUCUUCCACCACCGGAAGAGAAGCAGCCGGCGCCUGUUCUGGUCGCGGGGUGAAGAACGCAGAACCCCGAGGGAGCCAAAGCUGUGAUCUUUCCUCAUCCCUGAUCAGCCAGACGUCGCUAUUCCAGGCUCAGACACUCGACCAUCAUGCCUACACUGCGGUCCUCCUCCUCCCCAAGCAGUGUGUCCUCCCCACUGCGGAGAGCGUCGGGAGGCGGACAGAGGGUCUUGUCUGCGUCUUCUAGUUCGUCUGUCAAUAUGCCCUGUGGUGACAGGGACUCGGACCAGACUGCAGAGGGGAAUAAAAUAACCUCAUACAAGAUCUGAUUUAUCUCCUGGUUAUUUUUUUAAUUGGCUUCCUCUGACUCAUUUCUAUCAGUGCCACUGUUGGAGAGAAGAUUAUAUCUAUGUUAUAAACUUAACUCUAGUCAAUACAACUUACAAACUUUUUUCAAGGGAUGAAAUUUAAUUCUAGGCACAUAUUAACAUCCAAGUUAUAUAUGAGUAAUAUGCGACUUACCAGGCCAUGCUGAUUUUUCGCCACAGCAGUGAUCCCUCUGCCUGUUUA